rnacentral:lncRNA from 1 species
ACCAUUAAAAUGAUAGACUGAUCAUUUCUUUGUAAGUGGGCAAACGUACAAAAUCAGCAGGGGAUCAAAUACUUUUUUCCCCCACUGUAGAACCCUUUUCACAGAGGGUUCUACUUGGAACCCUAAAGGGUUCUACCUGGAACCAAAAUUGUUUAUUUUAUGUGGACAGCCGGAGAACCCUUUUGGAACCCUUUUUACUAAGAGUGUAGGGCCCUACUUUUGACCAGUAAUAGGGUACCAUAGCACUAACAGGCAGUGGCCAUUUCCUCAAGAUGGUGGGAUUCUUUCUGUGCUUUGUUUCACACCCAUAUUCGUCAGGACAACAGUGUGGCUAGUUAUAAGCUUAGAAAAUAGCUGACAGGUGUUAAGCAACAUCAUAGAGAUGUAACAGCAGUCCAGUCAUUCAAAUAAAAGUCACACAUCAAUCUCUAUAACGUCUACAGUUUGACAGACAAUAAAGUUGAUAGGAGUGCACUAUUUGAAAGGUUUAUUCUGAAACAGGAUGUGUGAUCCGGUCUUAAACCCUGACCACACUAGAAAUCUCUCCAUGUGAUUGCAUGAACAUCUUUUAAAAAAUGGUUUUAUGUAUACAUGUAUCUCUCUGACGCUAAUUAGACAUUUUAUUUUAAUAUAGUGAUCACUUAUUAUUCUUUUUAAAAUAUCACCAUACCCAUGUUCAUCGUUUUGAAAUAAACAUGAUGUCAAGUAAAAACACUCAUUCUGUCUUUGGAUAAAGUGCACCCAUGACAGUUAAGGUUUGGAAUGUAGGCAUCCCAUUUAUUUUGAAAUUAACUAAAUAAUUCACUCUUUCAAUAUCAGACCUUUAUUACCUCAGACCUGAUAUUGUUUGUAUUUUCCUUCAAUUCUGAGGGAGUAAUCCUGAACCAUAAUCAAAAGACUACUGUCAAGGUGCAAGUAAUAUACAGGAGAAAAGUUACAAUUCUGCUGUUUUUCCACCUUUUCAAGUUAAAUGAAUGCAAUCGAACAUUUCACCAGGGCUGGGCUCAAUUCCAUUUCAAAAAUAGGAAUGUUCUUGUGUAAUACCAGAGGACACAUAUCUACAUUAUUAAAUCACUCCAUCUGAGAGCUUAAUGAGUCUUGUGUUCCUGGACUUGCUAUUAUUAUAGGUCAGAAGGACAAUAAUAAAUAUUAUUUCCACAACAUUUCAUGCAACCAAAAUAAUGAAAUACCUAGUAAACAUUACCAGAACAAGCAUUGUUUGUGACAGAUGUACUCAUCCAUGGGAAAAAUAAAUGAUAAUAGCCCUUUGCAAAAAGGCAGUUCACAUCAUGCUGUGGUGCCUUGAGAAUAUGUCAGAGAGAGAGAGGAAGAGAGAGAGAAAGGGGAGAGAGAGAGAGAGAGAGGGGAGAGAGAGAGAGGGAGAGAGAGAGCAAGGGGAUAGAGAGAGGAAAAGAAAGAGAGGAGAGAGAGGAAGAGAGAGAGAUAGAGAAAGAGAUAAAGAGAGAGAGGAUAAUAGACAGAUGAAAUAUGGCUAUUUUUCCUGUUUGACAAACCCUACUCUAAACAAUUGCAGGAGGAAAGUGUGAGUAUCCCAGUUGAAGUUUGGACACAGAUUUAUGCCCCUAUCCCAGCCAGGGACAAUCACCCAACCAUCAUAUAUCACUAAUAUGCAGCAGCAAGACAUAGAGAUAUAUGCAUUAUAAUUGUAAAGCCAAAUUGGAACCACUCAUACAUGUUCCAUACAUUGCCGUAAUUACAAGAGUAUGUUUACAACUGGGGCAGAAGUAUGAGCUGUAUGCUGCUUGGAAUACAUGCUAUCAUCAAUAUACACAGAUGUUUGAUUUACUGCAUAUAGUACGUUCCCAGCAGAAUAUGUGGAGGAAACAUAUAUGUAUCUGAACUACAGGUAUUGGGAUGAAGACAACAAAAACCUUAACAGCUUCUUUGACCAAAAUGGAAACAUAUUGUUCAAAUGGUCUGUAAUAAGGAGAGCAAAUCUGUAUGGUAACAUAUCCUGUCAGGACUUUACUUGGCAGUGGCACACGAUCUCUGUGAUGUGUGUUAUGUAGUUCAGGAUAGAGGAGAAACCUGUAGGCCACCACCAUUAGAAGCAGCAUGUUAAUAAGCCAAUGCAUACCUGUUGUUUCCUCAGUUUGUUGUUGAAUAUGAAUGAUUUCAUUCUGAUGGUUUAUAAAGGUCUCAGUAAAAGUAGGGUUAAAGCCACCUUCUGUAAAUGUUGUUUUUGUCAUGAAAUGAAUUGCAUCAUCACAUGAGAGGGCAGGUCUGGUUGAGCACACAGAAUGAAUAGCAUCUGGGGAUGUUAUAGGGUGUUAUAGCAGUAGGAUGUUAUAGGGCCAGGUGUUAUAGGAGUAGGAUGUUAUAGCAGUAGGAUGUUAUAGCAGUAGGAUGUUAUAGGGUCAGGUGUUAUAGCAGUAGGAUGUUAUAGCAGUAGGAUGUUAUAGGGUCAGGUGUUAUAGCAGUAGGAUGUUAUAGGGCCAGGUGUUAUAGCAGUAGGAUGUUAUAGGGCCAGGUGUUAUAGGAGUAGGAUGUUAUAGGGUCAGGUGUUAUAGCAGUAGGAUGUUAUAGGGCCAGGUGUUAUAGCAGUAGGAUGUUAUAGCAGUAGGAUGUUAUAGGGUCAGGUGUUAUAGGAGUAGGAUGUUAUAAGGCCAGGUGUUAUAGCAGUAGGAUGUUAUAGGGCCAGGUGUUGUAGGAGUAGGAUGUUAUAGGGUCAGGUGUUAUAGCAGUAGGAUGUUAUAGGGCCAGGUGUUAUAGGAGUAGGAUGUUAUAGGGUCAGGUGUUAUAGCAGUAGGAUGUUAUAGAAGUAGGAUGUUAUAGGGUCAGGUGUUAUAGGAGUAGGAUGUUAUAGGGCCAGGUGUUAUAGGAGUAGGAUGUUAUAGGGUCAGGUGUUAUAGGAGUAGGAUGUUAUAGGGCCAGGUGUUAUAGGAAUAGGAUGUUAUAGGGUCAGGUGUUAUAGCAGUAGGAUGUUAUAGGGUCAGGUGUUAUAGCAGUAGGAUGUUAUAGCAGUAGGAUGUUAUAGGGUCAGGUGUUAUAGGAGUAGGAUGUUAUAGGGCCAGGUGUUAUAGGAGUAGGAUGUUAUAGGGUCAGGUGUUAUAGCAGUAGGAUGUUAUAGCAGUAGGAUGUUAUAGGGUCAGGUGUUAUAGCAGUAGGAUGUUAUAGGGCCUGGUGUUAUAGCAGUAGGAUGUUAUAGCAGUAGGAUGUUAUAGCAGUAGGAUGUUAUAGGGCCUGGUGUUAUAGCAGUAAGAUGUUAUAGGGCCUGGUGUUAUAGGAGUAGGAUGUUAUAGCAGUAGGAUGUUAUAGCAGUAGGAUGUUAUAGGGUCAGGGGUUAUAGUAGUAGGAUUUAUAGCAGUAGGAUGGUAUAGCAGUAGGAUGUUAUAGGGUCAGGUGUUAUAGCAGUAGGAUGUUAUAGGGUCAGGUGUUAUAGCAGUAGGAUGUUAUAGUAGUAGGAUGUUAUAGGGUCAGGUGUUAUAGCAGUAGGAUGUUAUAGGGCCAGGUGUUAUAGGAGUAGGAUGUUAUAGGGCCAGGUGUUAUAGGAGUAGGAUGUUAUAGGGCCAGGUGUAAUAGGAGUAGGAUGUUAUAGGGUCAGGUGUUAUAGCAGUAGGAUGUUAUAGGGUCAGGUGUUAUAGGAGUAGGAUGUUAUAGGGUCAGGUGUUAUAGCAGUAGGAUGUUAUAGGUUCAGGUGUUAUAGGAGUAGGAUGUUAUAGCAGUAGGAUGUUAUAGCAGUAGGAUGUUAUAGGGUCAGGUGUUAUAGCAGUAGGAGAUUAUAGCAGUAGGAUGUUAUAGGGCCAGGUGUUAUAGGAGUAGUAUGUUAUAGGGCCAGGUGUUAUAGCAGUAGGAUGUUAUAGCAGUAGGAUGUUAUAGGAUCAGGUGUUAUAGCAGUAGGAUGUUAUAGGGUCAGGUGUUAUAGGAGUAGGAUGUUAUAGCAGUAGGAUGUUAUAGGGCCAGGUGUUACAGCAGUAGGAUGUUAUAGGGUCAGGUGUUAUAGCAGUAGGAUGUUAUAGGGCCAGGUGUUAUAGGAGUAGGAUGUUAUAGCAGUAGGAUGUUAUAGCAGUAGGAUGUUGUAGCAGUAGGAUGUUAUAGGGUCAGGGGUUAUAGCAGUAGGAUGUUAUAGCAGUAGGAUGGUAUAGCAGUAGGAUGUUAUAGGGUCAGGUGUUAUAGCAGUAGGAUGUUAUAGGGUCAGGUGUUAUAGCAGUAGGAUGUUAUAGCAGUAGGAUGUUAUAGGGUCAGGUGUUAUAGCAGUAGGAUGUUAUAGGGCCAGGUGUUAUAGGAGUAGGAUGUUAUAGGGCCAGGUGUUAUAGGAGUAGGAUGUUACAGGGCCAGGUGUAAUAGGAGUAGGAUGUUAUAGGGUCAGGUGUUAUAGCAAUAGGAUGUUAUAGGGUCAGGUGUUAUAGGAGUAGGAUGUUAUAGGGUCAGGUGUUAUAGCAGUAGGAUGUUAUAGGGUCGGGUGUUAUAGGAGUAGGAUGUUAUAGCAGUAAGAUGUUAUAGCAGUAGGAUGUUAUAGGGUCAGGUGUUAUAGCAGUAGGAUGUUAUAGGGUCAGGUGUUAUAGCAGUAGGAUGUUAAAGCAGUAGGAUGUUAUAGGGUCAGGUGUUAUAGCAGUAGGAUGUUAUAGGGUCAGGUGUUAUAGCAGUAGGAUGUUAUAGCAGUAGGAUGUUAUAGGGCCAGGUGUUAUAGGAGUAGUAUGUUAUAGGGCCAGGUGUUAUAGCAGUAGGAUGUUAUAGCAGUAGGAUGUUAUAGCAGUAGGAUGUUAUAGGAUCAGGUGUUAUAGCAGUAGGAUGUUAUAGGGUCAGGUGUUAUAGGAGUAGGAUGUUAUAGCAGUAGGAUGUUAUAGGGCCAGGUGUUAUAGG